rnacentral:rRNA from 1 species
GUGUCAGCCGCCGCGGUAAAACGUAGGAGCCAAGCGUUAUCCGAAUUCACUGGGCGUAAAGCGCGUGCAGGCGGUAUGGCAAGUUGGAUGUGAAAUCUCCCGGCUCAACUGGGAGAGGCCGUUCAAUACUGCCAAACUAGAGGGCGACAGAGGGAGGUGGAAUUCCGGGUGUAGUGGUGAAAUGCGUAGAUAUCCGGAGGAACACCAGAGGCGAAGGCGACCUCCUGGGUCGCACCUGACGCUCAGACGCGAAAGCUAGGGGAGCAAACGGGAUUAGAAACCCCCGUAGUCC